rnacentral:rRNA from 1 species
GGGCGUAACCCUGACGCAGCAACGCCGCGUGAGUGAUGAAGGCCUUCGGGUCGUAAAGCUCUGUCAAAGGGAAAGAAAUGUGUGGGGGUUAAAUCCCUCCAUCCUUGACGGUACCCUCUAAG